rnacentral:rRNA from 1 species
GUCUACGGCCAUACCUCCCUGAACGCACCCAAUCUCAUCUGAUCUCAGAAACUAAGCAGGGUUGGGCCUGGUUAGUACUUGGAUGGGAGACUACCUAGGAAUACCAGGUGCAGUAGAUG